ACGCUCGACACCUACGGGGGCAGCAGUGGGGAAUAUUGCACAAUGGGGGAAACCCUGAUGCAGCGACGCCGCGUGAGUGAAGAAGUAUUUCGGUAUGUAAAGCUCUAUCAGCAGGGAAGAAAAUGACGGUACCUGACUAAGAAGCCCCGGCUAACUACGUGUCAGCAGCCGCGGUAAUCUGAGCGGGCUGGCAAGGC
rnacentral:rRNA from 1 species